rnacentral:lncRNA from 1 species
CUCUCUCUCUCUCGUUUAGAGACAGCCUGGUUUUCAGCUCCUUUUACUAACAUAUCUGGUGCGGAGACUCAGGAGGAGGUAUGCGAUCAAUUACGUGAUGAUUCCCCACCGGUUGGGGUUGAUUGGCCUUUUGCUGCCUCCUCCAGACCACAUCUGCGGAGCCAGGACCUCCUCGGGCCUUUCUGCCUUUACCAUUGCUGAUGACUCACAUCCACCCCGGUCACUGCUCUCAGGGUACUUCUAGCCCUAACUCCAUUGUCUGCACCUCCUGUUCCACUGGCCUCCUGUUCCACAUUCUCCUUGCUAGAGCGACUCCCUCCCCUGACCCGGACCUCAGCCCAGACUCCAAAGUGACUAUUGAUCCAACAGACCACUUUAUAAAAGGUCGUUCUGCCUGUGAGGCCCUUCUUGGAGAGAAAAAGCUUCUCCACCUCUCCAGACAGACCAGAAACAACAACCUGAAACUCCCAGAGAGGGAUACAACCAAGCCAGAGGACCUAAUGGGACACUGGACAUUCCAGGACCUCAUGAGAGCAUUUACCAGUCAGACAGUCACAGAACUCAUCAUGGUGGGGUACCAGCCACUGCAGCAGAAAGAAGACCUUACUUAUAGCUGCCCCCAUCAGAUCCAGGUUUAGUCCCAAUCUUUGCCCCUUUGUCAGCUUGAAGCAGCUACAGAAGAAAUGUUUUCCCAAUGACCAUAAAACAAAAACUUGGAAUAUUAGAUUUCCCUUGUCUUAAGAUGGCUGCUGCAUGGAGUAGCAGCCUCUUCUUCCCAUAAUGCCAUGUUAAAAUAUGGCUUCUCCCACCAAAGGAUAGUCUUCUUCCCAACAUGCCCCUCUUCCCACCAAGAAAGGUAAUCUGAUACUUGCUACCUCCUAGCAACUAGUGAUGUCACAGACUCCUCCAAUCCCUUAUUGCCACAUCACUCGAACCCACCCCAGCUCCUAUAAGAAGUGCCCCCUGUCUCGGCCAUAUUGCUCUCUCUCUUUUGUUCUGAGACAGCAUGGCAGAUCCUCCCCA